rnacentral:rRNA from 15 species
CGUAAAGCGCGCGUAGGUGGUUUGUUAAGUGAGAUGUGAAAGCCCAGGGCUCAACCUUGGAACUGCAUCUCAUACUGGCAGGCUAGAGUAUGGUAGAGGGAGGUAGAAUUCCACGUGUAGCGGUGAAAUGCGUAGAGAUGUGGAGGAAUACCAGUGGCGAAGGCGGCCUCCUGGACUGACACUGACGCUGAGGUGCGAAAGCG